CAACCCAAAACUGAAGGUUUCCUGAGCCCUUGAGGUGUUUGGUGACUUUUUCUGUGGUCUGAAUGUCCUGCUUCACAUCCUUGGAAACCUUAUCAGAUCUAUGUGGAGUUUGGUGUUCCUUAGGUGAACCUGAUUUUCAGCCACAUGAGGACACAAACUCCGUCUUCCCCACCUCUCUGGAGGGUGUAGCUGCCACAGGACAAUGGAAUCUGCCAGCACUCUCUACUUGAACAUCCUAGCAUCCAAACUGGUCAUUGAUUGGACCGGGAGCUCACCGGUUUACUAUACGGACUGAUCAGUCCUAAGGAUCCUCCUGUCUCUUCUGGCCUGGUGAUAGAAUUACAGGUGUGUAUGUGACAAUGCUUCCCAUGUAAGCUCUGGGGAGCCAGGUCUUCAUGCUUACACGGUGAGUCCUCCACGGUGAAUUCUCUCGCAGCACACCCUCCUCUCUCUUUCCUCCUUCUGUACCAGUGGUUCUCAACCCUCCUAAACCUACUACCCUUUCGUACAGCUCCUAUUGCGGUGACCACAGCCAUAAACGUAUUUAGUUUGCUACUUUACAAAUGCAGUUUGGCUACUGUUAGGAGUCACAAUGUAAAUAUAUGAUAUAGAGGAUAUUUGAUUAUCUGAUGUGUGACCCCUGUGAAGCAAC